UGCGCUGAGCUCGCCUGCUUCUGAACUGCGCUUGGGGACUUUGAAGGGGCCGAGCGUGGUCUGCGAACACCGGGAGCGUAGCAGAACAGCACUUAAGCAACAUGCGGGGAAACCGCCGCUGCACUGGUACUUCUUAUAGGUUUCCUGGACGCAGAGCCCGUUUGGCGAUUGACAAGUUUUGGAUAACCGGAGUCGGGCUCCUUGGAGUCUGUCAUCUAUAACAGAUUUCUUCUGGUCCAUAGCAGAUUUUGUGGUUCUGUUUUUCCAGAGCAUUAUUCAACCAGAUUUGAGAAGAAGAGGUUAUACAUCUUCCUCCUAUUCAGGAUACAAUGACAGAAGAGGGCCUCCAGCAAAUCCUCGCCGUAGGAUGGGUCGAAUAAAUCACUGGGGUGGAGGCCCCAGUCCCCCACCAAUGGCUGGGGGUGGAUGAGGAAGGUAAAUGCCUGCUGAAGAGGCAGGCACAAGUGUACACAUUUGCAAGAUGAAAGGAAGAAGAGUUUAGUGGUGGACCAAAUGAGUUUGAAUAUUGUGAAUGCGUACAUCUGACUGGAAACUGUUCUGUGAUAUAAGCAGAUUAAUGAAGUUGUACUGGGAACUCCUUCAAGGAUCCAGUGUAACUGAACCAGUUUUAUUAAAUACAUGUUUACUGUCUAAAGUCUUUGUAUAGUUUCUGAAUAUUUUACUGUAGUUACAAAGUAAUAAGUAAAUUAUAUUUGGCUUGUCA